GUCAACAUCAAAAAGCUUAUAAUUAUUUCGUAAGAAAGUUACCAGAAUCCAUAAGAUAUAAGCGUGCCAAGCAUAUCAUGAGUCUUUUGAUAGCUUUUCUUCUCCAAGUUGAUUUCUAAGCUAGACUUACUUUCUUAAUAUGAUUUAAUUCUAAUUAAAAUUUCUUAUAAGGUGUAUCUAGUCUAGAGUGUAUAAUUUGAAACUACACAUCCUUAAUGGUCAUUCAUAAGAAACAUUCACAAGAAGACACAAAUUAUGCAGCA
rnacentral:lncRNA from 1 species